UUACGGCCAUAUCACGUUGAAACACCGGUUUUCGUAAGAUCAACGAAGUUAAGCAAUAUAGAACCUGGUCAGUAAACUAGAUGAGUAACCACAUUGGAAUACCAGGUGCUGUAAG